rnacentral:rRNA from 1 species
GUGAACGCUGGCGGUAGGCCUAACACAUGCCAGUCGAACGGCAGCACAGUAAGAGCUUGCUCUUACGGGUGGCGAGUGGCGGACGGGUGAGGAAUACAUCGGAAUCUACUUUUUCGUGGGGGAUAACGUAGGGAAACUUACGCUAAUACCGCAUACGACCUACGGGUGAAAGCAGGGGAUCUUCGGACCUUGCGCGAUUGAAUGAGCCGAUGUUGGAUUAGCUAGUUGGCGGGGUAAAGGCCCACCAAGGCGACGAUCCGUAGCUGGUCUGAGAGGAUGAUCAGCCACACUGGAACUGAGACACGGUCCAGACUCCUACGGGAGGCAGCAGUGGGGAAUAUUGGACAAUGGGCGCAAGCCUGAUCCAGCCAUACCGCGUGGGUGAAGAAGGCCUUCGGGUUGUAAAGCCCUUUUGUUGGGAAAGAAAAGCAGCAGGUUAAUACCCCGCUGUUCUGACGGUACCCAAAGAAUAAGCACCGGCUAACUUCGUG